GCCGAGAUAGCUCAGUCGGUAGAGCACCGGACUGAAAAUCCGGGUGUCCCCAGUUCGAUUCUGGGUCUCGGCACCA
rnacentral:tRNA from 2 species